ensembl:lncRNA
AACAAGGGAUAGCGACACUGAUCUAUAAUAUAGAACAUAUAUAGAUCAGUGGAUAGCGAGCGAGUAGAUUAGAGCAGAAUGGCCGGGUUGGAAGAAUUUGCACACAUAGUAAGACAGCUUUUUGAGAGUGAAAAAAAAACUCAUGCCGAGAGUUCCGCACUGCAGUCACGCUAUCUGCGCUUCAAGUUCAUCGCGCGUCUACUCGGCGUUGCGUAAUAGAUUAAGAUGUUGAAAGCCAGAGACAUAGAACUCAAACCAACUUUGGAGUUGUCUGAUUUGGCGAGUCAUCAUUCUUGGUCUUCCGUCUUAAAGGAUAGGUUCACACAAAAAAAUCAUUUACUUGCCCUCAUGUCAUUCCAAACCUAUACGACUUUUGUAUAUCUUUAGAAUACAAAUGAAUAUAUUUUGAAUUUUCUCAAAUUUUUGUUAAUCCAUUGAGAGUCUAUAUAAUCAGUAUUUUCAAGCCUCAUAAAUACAGAGUUAUUGUAGAAGUAAUCCAUUCCGAUAUUUAUAUAUGAAUAAAUCUUAAAUUAUAUGAUAGCAAACACGUAUGUUCAAAAUAAAACAUUUUUUGGUGGACUAACCCUUAGCGGCCCUCCACGUACAUGAACAUUUGUGAG